rnacentral:rRNA from 1 species
CCUACGGGAGGCAGCAGUGGGGAAUAUUGCACAAUGGGCGAAAGCCUGAUGCAGCGACGCCGCGUGAGUGAAGAAGUCUUUCGGUAUGUAAAGCUCUAUCAGCAGGGAAGAAAAUGACGGUACCUGACUAAUACUCCCCGGCGACCUCCGUUCCAGCAGCCGCGGGCAUACGGCGGGGGCAAGCGUUAUCCGGAUUUACUGGGUGUAAAGGGAGCUUAGACGGCGAAGCAAGUCGGACGUGAGAACACAGGGCGCAACCCUGGGACUGCUUUGGAAACUGUUUUGCUAGAGUGUCGGAGAGGUAAGAGGAAUUCCUAGUGUAGCGGUGAAAUGCGUAGAUAUUAGGAGGAACACCAGUGGCGAAGGCGGCUUACGGGACGAUAACUGACGUUGAGGCUCGAAAGCGUGGGGAGCAAACAGGAUUAGAUACCCUGGUAGUC